rnacentral:rRNA from 1 species
AGAACGAACGCUGGCGGCGUGGAUAAGACAUGCAGGUCGAACGAGUUUAGUUUUGUAGCAAUACAAGGCUAAGCUAGUGGCGAACGGGUGCGUAACACGUGAGCAAUCUACCUUAAAGUGGGGGAUAGCUCGCCGAAAGGCGAAUUAAUACCGCAUGUGGUUGUAAAACCCAAAGCCGGGGCAACCUGGCGCUUUUAGAGGAGCUCGCGGCCUAUCAGCUUGUUGGCGGGGUAACGGCCCACCAAGGCGACGACGGGUA